GUUUUGGAAGAGGCCUGGGAUAGAGGCCGGGCCGGGGCUGCGGGGGAGGCGGGCAGGCGGCAGCCGUCGCCGCUUGGUCUGGGCGUCUUCUCGGAUCUUCCAGAUCACCAGGCGCAUGAGGCGCUGGGGACCUCGCCGGAGCUGUGCCCGUCCACGUCGUCCUGGAUGAUCUGAGGCAGUCAGAGCACGGACGUGUCCACCACGGUGCUGUGGAUGACCUUCAAGGCCAGCGGGCCACUCUCCAGGCUGUGUCCGGUGAGGACGAUGUCGGCGCUGAACAUGCGCAGCAGGACAGCCUGGACGUCCCAGAGCGAGAUGCUCGUGUGGGCGAGGUCAGCCUCAGUCACCCCCGAAAACCUGGUGUUGUAGUCCACAUCUCAUUGUCCGGCUUGACGAAGGUGUCCUAAACCACCUGCAUGUCCGUGUCCACCACCGUGACACACGUCAGCUCCAGGCCAUACGUGGUGUAGGACAUUUCACAGUCAGGGGCGUAAAUCCCCGGGUGGGCGUCUUCCGAAGGUUAUUUAUUUUUAUUUUUAUUUUUUUUAAUUUAUGAUAGACAUAGAGAGAGAGAGAGAGAGAGAGAGGCAGAGACACAGGCAGCACAGGCAGAGGAGAGGGGGAGAAGCAGGCUCCAUGCCGGGAGCCCGAUCCCGGGACUCCAGGAUCGAGCCCUGGGCCAAAGGCAGGCGCGAAACCGCUGAGCCACCCAGGGAUCCCCCCCCCGCAAGGUUCUUUAUCGAAAGUCUUCACAGAGCCUGCGGGGUUUUCCUUCCCGCCGUCCUGCACCCUGCACGUGUCGCUUGGCGGCAGCCCGUGGAGCCGAUGGCGGCCGAGCAGCGCGUGGACGGAGUCUCCCAGCCGCGCCGCAGUGAGUGAGAUCCUGCAGGAAGAAAGCCACAAGGCCAGCAGUGAGCACCAGGAAUGUGGGUAUGGAAGAUGCAAAUGCUGUCACGAGGUCAGUCUCUCAGGUGAGUGACCUGGACAUCUUGCCAUCAAGCUCCUCCCUAAGGAUCCCCCAUCUUUAUUACAGCACAACCACCCCCUCUUCUUUCUUUAAGGCCAGGCAUGGAGGAGUCACCUUCUCAUUGUCCUCCCUUUCUUCUCCUACAGCUCCAAAUUUACCGUGUCUUGUCUAUUUUUCCUUUUAAG
rnacentral:lncRNA from 1 species